GGAGAGGUGGCCGAGCGGUUUAAGGCGCAUCGUUGGAAACGAUGUGUGCGUAAGCACGCGCAGGUUCGAAUCCUGUCCUCUCCG
rnacentral:tRNA from 1 species